GACAGCCCUUCUUAUCGUGGUCGAUAUGCUACUCUUGUUCUGCUACAACCAAUCUGGAAGUACUCUAUUUUUGCAGGAAUGCAACAUUGGCAUGUGAACUUCCAACAGAAUAGCUUUGAAAUUGCUUCGUUCCGAAAAUGCUUCAAAGUAAACCAUCCUCUCGGCGGAUGCUGCUAUCAUCCGGCCUCCACUUUGAUGCCGCCGGAAAUGGCAGCGGCAGGAGGGUGUUCUGAAGCCUCUGGACCCAUCAUGUGUCUGCCCUGAAAUGUGCUGCUGCUGCUGCUGCUGCUUGGAUGGAUGGGCGCCCUUCAAUGUGGCCUGCACUGCAGUUGCUAGCUGCGCAUGCACAUGACCUCAACCAAAGUGAAGCCUGGCAAUGUGUGGUAUUCGAGUACUCAGUGACUCUCAUCUCAGGCACCAAUGCUGGUGAUUAACAAACAGGUUGGAACGAGCUGUGGAGACUGGAGAAACUUCCUGCUGCUUGCCAUGUGAGAAUCAAAGAAGAAAUGACGACAUCUUCCAUCCAGUUGCAAUGCUUCAGUCGCUUAUGGAGGCCUCGUGUAGAAAUUUGGAACAUUAUUAUUUGGUACGGCUGACGGAGGUGUCAAAUUGUUGCGCUACAUUGCAUACCUGAAGUGGCAUGUGAUUACCAAGAGUGCCCUUUCUUAUCUUGGAACAGAAAGUACUUGUUUUAUUUUUUUGGAGGGGAGGGGGAAGAAAAUAUUUUUUUUGACACUGAUGUUUCGUGGCUUGAUGAGGGAACAAGAUAGUGAUCAGUGAGGUAAUCCGUCUCGGCUGUCUCAUGUCCCUGUUUGUUUCAGUUGUGCCAACCAAAACUAUGGUUCUCAUG